GACGAACGCUGGCGGCGUGCUUAACACAUGCAAGUCGUACGGUAAGGCCCUUUCGGGGGUACACGAGUGGCGAACGGGUGAGUAACACGUGAGUAACCUGCCCACAACUUUGGGAUAACGCUAGGAAACUGGUGCUAAUACUGGAUAUGUGCUCCUGCUGCAUGGUGGGGGUUGGAAAGCUCCGGCGGUUGUGGAUGGACUCGCGGCCUAUCAGCUUGUUGGUGGGGUAGUGGCCUACCAAGGCGGCGACGGGUAGCCGGCCUGAGAGGGUGACCGGCCACAUUGGGACUGAGAUACGGCCCAGACUCCUACGGGGGGCAGCAGUGGGGAAUAUUGCACAAUGGGCGCAAGCCUGAUGCAGCAACGCCGCGUGCGGGAUGACGGCCUUCGGGUUGUAAACCGCUUUCAGCAGGGACGAAGCUUUUUGUGACGGUACCUGCAGAAGAAGCACCGGCUAACUACGUGC
rnacentral:rRNA from 1 species